rnacentral:rRNA from 1 species
AACGCGAAGAACCUUACCAGGUCUUGACAUCCCACUGACCGGUAUAGAGAUAUACCUUUCCCUUCGGGGACAGUGGUGACAGGUGGUGCAUGGUUGUCGUCAGCUCGUGUCGUGAGAUGUUGGGUUAAGUCCCGCAACGAGCGCAACCCUUGAUCUUAGUUGCCAGCAUUAAGUUGGGCACUCUAAGGUGACUGCCGGUGACAAACCGGAGGAAGGUGGGGAUGACGUCAAAUCAUCAUGCCCCUUAUGACCUGGGCUACACACGUGCUACAAUGGAUGGUACAAAGGGCUGCGAGACUGCGAAGUCAAGCGAAUCCCAUAAAACCAUUCUCAGUUCGGAUUGCAGGCUGCAACUCGCCUGCAUGAAGCUGGAAUCGCUAGUAAUCGUGGAUCAGCAUGCCACGGUGAAUACGUUCCCGGGCCUUGUA